rnacentral:rRNA from 1 species
UACGUAGGGGGCAAGCGUUGUCCGGAAUCAUUGGGCGUAAAGAGCGCGUAGGCGGCCCUGUAAGUCCGCUGUGAAAGUCAAGGGCUCAACCCUUGAAUGCCGGUGGAUACUGCAGGGCUAGAGUCCGGAAGAGGCGAGUGGAACUCCUGGUGUAGCGGUGGAAUGCGCAGAUAUCAGGAAGAACACCAACGGCGAAGGCAGCUCGCUGGGACGGAACUGACGCUGAGGCGCGAAAGCGUGGGGAGCGAACAGG